ACCAUGCAAGUCGAGCGGCAGCACGGAGCUUUGCUCUUGGGGUCAGGGGCGGACGGGUGAGUAAUGCCUCGGAAUCUGCCUGGUAGUGGGGGAUAACUACCCGAAAGGAUAGCUUAUACCGCAUACGCCCUACGGGGGAAAGCAGGUGAUCGUCGACCUAGCACUAUUGGAUGGGCCUAUAUUCGGAUUAGCUAGUUGGUGAGGUAACGGCUCACCAAGGCGACGAUCCGUACUGGUCUGAGAGGACGAUCACCACACUGGAACUGAGACACGGCCCAGACUCCUACGGGAGGCAGCAGUGGGGAAUAUUGGACAAUGGGCGAAAGCCUGAUCCAGCCAUGCCGCGUGUGCGAUGAAGGUCUUCGGGUUGUAAAGCACUUUUGGUAGGGAAGAAGGGUCAUGUGUUAAUACCCCGUUGAACUGACGGUACCUGCAGAAUAAGCACCGGCUAACUCCGUGCCAGCAGCCGCGGUAAUACGUAGGGUGCAAGCGUUAAUCGGAAUUACUGGGCGUAAAGCGUGCGCAG
rnacentral:rRNA from 1 species